rnacentral:rRNA from 1 species
UACGUAGGGCGCAAGCGUUGGCCGGAAUUAUUGGGCGUAAAGAGCUCGUAGGCGGCCAGUUGCGUCUGCUGUGAAAUCCCGGGGCUCAACCCCGGGCGUGCAGUGGAUACGGGCUGGCUAGAGGCAGGCAGGGGAGAACGGAAUUCCCGGUGUAGCGGUGAAAUGCGCAGAUAUCGGGAGGAACACCGGUGGCGAAGGCGGUUCUCUGGGCCUGUACUGACGCUGAGGAGCGAAAGCAUGGGGAGCGAACAGG